UACGGAGGAUGCAAGCGUUAUCCGGAAUUAUUGGGCGUAAAGCGUCCGUAGGUGGUUUUUCAAGUCUGCUGUCAAAGACCGUGGCUUAACCACGGAAAGGCAGUGGAAACUGAGAGACUAGAGUUCGGUAGGGGUAGCGGGAAUUCCCAGUGUAGCGGUGAAAUGCGUAGAUAUUGGGAAGAACAUCGGUGGCGAAGGCGCGCUACUGGACCGAAACUGACACUCAGAGGACGAAAGCUAGGGGAGCGAA
rnacentral:rRNA from 1 species